rnacentral:rRNA from 1 species
GACGGAGGGCGCAAGCGUUGUUCGGAAUUACUGGGCGUAAAGCGCGGGCAGGUGGCCCGUUAAGUCUGCGGUGAAAUCCCGGGGCUCAACUCCGGAUAUGCCGCGGAUACUGGCGGGCUAGAGACUGGUAGAGGCGAGUGGAAUUCCAGGUGUAGCGGUGGAAUGCGUAGAUAUCUGGAAGAACACCGGUGGCGAAGGCGGCUGAC